GUGCAUGUUUCAGGUUAAAGUUUUUGGUCAAGGUAGUUUUUGAUGAAGUUGAAGUCCAAUCAACUUGAAACAUAGUACACAUGUUCCUUAUGAUAUGAUCUUUCUAAUUUUAAAGCCAAAUUAAACUUUUGACCCCAAUUUCACGGUCACUGAACAUAGAAAAUGAAAGUGCAUGUUUCAGGUUAAAGUUUUUGGUCAAGGUAGUUUUUGAUGAAGUUGAAGUCCAAUCAACUUGAAACUUAGUACACAUGUUCCCUAUGAUAUUAUCUUUCUAAUUUUAAUGCCUAAUUAUAUUUUUUAUCCAAUUUCGCGGUCCAUUGAACAUGGAAAAUGAUAGUGCGAGUGGGGCAUCCGUGUACUUUGGACACAUUCUUGUUU
rnacentral:lncRNA from 1 species